GAUGAACGCUGGCGGCGUGCCUAAUACAUGCAAGUCGAGCGAACGGACGAGAAGCUUGCUUCUCUGAUGUUAGCGGCGGACGGGUGAGUAACACGUGGAUAACCUACCUAUAAGACUGGGAUAACUUCGGGAAACCGGAGCUAAUACCGGAUGAUAUUUUGAACCGCAUGGUUCAAAAGUGAAAGACGGUCUUGCUGUCGCUUAUAGAUGGAUCCGCGCUGCAUUAGCUAGUUGGUAAGGUAACGGCUUACCAAGGCAACGAUGCAUAGCCGACCUGAGAGGGUGAUCGGCCACACUGGAACUGAGACACGGUCCAGACUCCUACGGGAGGCAGCAGUAGGGAAUCUUCCGCAAUGGGCGAAAGCCUGACGGAGCAACGCCGCGUGAGUGAUGAAGGUCUUCGGAUCGUAAAACUCUGUUAUUAGGGAAGAACAUAUGUGUAAGUAACUGUGCACAUCUUGACGGUACCUAAUCAGAAAGCCACGGCUAACUACGUG
rnacentral:rRNA from 1 species